rnacentral:rRNA from 1 species
GACGAACGCUGGCGGCGCGCUUAACACAUGCAAGUCGAGCGAAGCGGCGGACGGGUGAGUAACACGUGAGUAACCUGCCUUAGACAUUGGGAUAGCCUCGGGCAACCUGGAUUCAUACCAAAUGGUCUAAGAUGGACUCGCGUCCCAUUAGCUGGUGGGUGAGGUAACGGCCCACCAAGGCGACGAUGGGUAGCCGGCCUGAGAGGGUGAACGGCCACAUUGGAACUGGGAAACGGUCCAAACUCUACGGGAGGGAGCAGUGGGGAAUAUUGCACAAUGGAGGGAACUCGGAGGCAGCGACGCGGCGUGAACGAAGAAGGCGUUCGAGUCGUAAAGUUCUUUUAUAUGGGAAGCGGUACCAGAAGAAAAAGCCCCGGCUAACUACGUGCCAGCAGCCGCGGUAAUAC